GACGAACGCUCGCGGCUUGCUUAACACAUGCAAGACGAUCGGUAAGGCCCUUUCGGGGGUACACGAGCGGCGAACGGGUGAGUAACACGUGGGUGACCUGCCCUCCACUCUGGGAUAAGCCCGGGAAACUGGGUCUAAUACCGGAGAGGACCUCUCAACGCAUGUUGGGGGGUGGAAAGUUUUUUCGGUGGGGGAUGGGCCCGCGGCUGAUCAGCUUGUUGGUGGGGUGAUUGCCUACCAAGGCGGUGACGGGUAGCCGGCAUGAGAGGGGGACCGGCCACACUGGGACUGAGACGCGGGACAGACUCGUGCGGGAGGCAGCAGUGGGGAAUGUUGCGCGAUGGGCGGAAGCCUGACGCAGCGACGCCGCGUGGGGGAUGACGGCCUUCGGGUUGUAAAACUCUUUCGCCAGGGACGAAGCUAACGUGACGGUACCUGGAGAAGAAGCACCGGCCAACUACGUGCCAGCCGCCGCAGUAA
rnacentral:rRNA from 1 species